CGCAUUCAUUUGUGCUAAAUAUGACCAGGUAAUAUCAACAGCAAUCCGUCUCCUGCAGAUAAUUUCAAAGCUUCUCGACAUCAAUGAAAAGAAAAUAAUUGCAGAUCGCAGUUGUAGAUGUACACGGGAGUGCGGGGGCCUCCAACAUGGACAAACAAGGACGAUUCCUGAUCGUGGCGUUGCUGGCACUGGCAUUGGUUUUUCUAAAGUUUGUGCAAUUUUCAAUUUCCGGAGCAAAGUCAGUGUGGAUCAGAUACCCAGCUCCGAAGAAUCAUUCCACACUACAGCAGGAAGUAAAAAUGCCAAAG